AUCUUUGUAGUACAAGUGCUAAAUAUGAGUGACUUCCACUCACCCGGUCUUGGUUAAAGCCCAAGGAAAGAUA
rnacentral:tRNA from 1 species